rnacentral:rRNA from 1 species
AUUGAACGCUGGCGGCAUGCUUUACACAUGCAAGUCGAACGGUAACAGGCCUUCGGGUGCUGACGAGUGGCGAACGGGUGAGUAAUGCAUCGGAACGUACCCAGAGGUGGGGGAUAACGCAGCGAAAGCUGUGCUAAUACCGCAUGUGAUCUGAGGAUGAAAGCGGGGGACCGAGCAGCAAUGUUUGGCCUCGCGCCUUUGGAGCGGCCGAUGUCGGAUUAGCUAGUUGGUGGGGUAAAGGCCUACCAAGGCGACGAUCCGUAGCUGGUCUGAGAGGACGACCAGCCACACUGGGACUGAGACACGGCCCAGACUCCUACGGGAGGCAGCAGUGGGGAAUUUUGGACAAUGGGCGCAAGCCUGAUCCAGCAAUGCCGCGUGCGGGAAGAAGGCCUUCGGGUUGUAAACCGCUUUUGGCAGGAACGAAACGGUGUCCGCUAAUACCGGGCGCUAGUGACGGUACCUGCAGAAUAAGCACCGGCUAACUACGUG